AGUGAACGCUGGCGGCGUGCCUAACACAUGCAAGUCGAACGAUGAUGGAGGAGCUUGCUCUUCCUGAUUAGUGGCGCACGGGUGAGUAAUGCAUAGAUAAUGUGCCCCUUAGUUCGGGAUAGCAACUGGAAACGGUGAUUAAUACCGGAUACUCCUUCUUACUAUAAGGUAAGUCGGGAAAGUUUUUCGCUAAGGGAUCAGUCGGUGUCCCAUCAGUUUGUUGGUGAGGUAAUGGCUCACCAAGACUAUGACGGGUAUCUGGUUUGAGAGGAUGAUCAGACACACUGGAACUGAGACACGGUCCAGACUCCUGCGGGAGGCAGCAGUGAGGAAUAUUGCACAAUGGAGGAAACUCUGAUGCAGCAACGCCGCGUGGAGGAUGACGCAUUUCGGUGUGUAAACUCCUUUUAAGAGGGAAGAUUAUGACGGUACCUCUUGAAUAAGCACCGGCUAACUCCGUGCCAGCAGCCGCGGUAA
rnacentral:rRNA from 1 species